AAAUUCAUUUUACUUCGACAAAGGUUGAAGUAUGUAGCAGGCGAGCGUCAGGGACAAGUGCAGCUAUCUCUUUGAUCACAUCGCUUUAAACAUUUUUCAGCUUUAAGCUUGUCUUACAAGUCAGCUCUAUCAGUCUAUUAAUUGUUUCACUGUACCUAAUAUCUUACACGAAGGCACCUUGAAAAACAGCAGGAGAAAGCACAUUUGUUUAAGUCCUGCGAUGGCUAGCACGGCAGCUAAUCUCCUUGCAAAUUAUAAUCAUAGUUGUAGUUCAUCCAUUAGGCUGGAAAAGACAAGAUUCCCAAGUGGCCUUGGUGCCUUUUCCAGUUCCCGGGAGACCCACCAACCCUCGGCGUGUGUUGCCUGCGCACCCGGAGCGUUCUUGCUAAUCAGGUCAAUGAUUAGCGCCUGGCUCCAGGGACCUGCCAAGAGUGUUAGGGAGCCUCCAAACGGAGCACGCUCACGGAGAAUCUCCCGUUCAGAAACAUCGCUUAGUCCUCAUUUACUCACUGGGAACCUCGGAGGAUUUCAGCUGAUGUUUUUCUCUCCUUAGACAGUGAGGAGCUCAACAUAACAGGGAAAAGGAGCACAGGAUGCAGCUACUUAGAGGGUGUUGAUUGAAAACUUCGAUCUCCCCACCCCAUCACGGUUGAUUUGACGGAUUUCUCACCUCGUUCACAGAGAAAAUUUCAAUUAAGGUCUUUGAUUACUUGAGAAAAGUGAGUGAGGUGGGGCCAAGAUGGUUGACUAGAAGCAGCUAGUGUGUGCCACUCUCACAAAUAGCAGGAAGAGUGGUGAGACACUAGCUCUUCAACCGGAACAUCCAGGUGGACACAUAAGGAUUCAUCAGUGACAUAGUGUGACCUUCGGAUCACGGAGAAGAGUGAGACAGAUCAACCAUUCACCCAGGAGUGGCACAGACCCAGGGGAAUCCCCCUACAAGAAAAUGAAAUGAUGCAUCUAACAG
rnacentral:lncRNA from 1 species